rnacentral:rRNA from 1 species
AUUGAACGCUGGCGGAAUGCUUAACACAUGCAAGUCGAGCGGGGUGUAGCAAUACACCUAGCGGCGGACGGGUGAGGAAUACAUAGGAAUCUGCCUCAGAGUGGGGGAUAGCCCGGGGAACCCGGGACUUAAUACCGCAUGAUGUCGUAAGACCAAAGACGUGGGACCGCAAGGCCUCGCGCUCUGAGAUGAGCCUAUGUCGGAUUAGCUAGUUGGCGGGGUAAAAGCCCACCAAGGCGACGAUCCGUAGCUGGUCUGAGAGGACGAUCAGCCACACCGGAACUGAGACACGGUCCGGACUCCUACGGGA